UGAUGGCUGUUCCUCUCACUGCUUGGAGCUUUUGGUAGUGGGAUUUUAUUCCAUCAUAUAUGAAAGCUGACUUGUCUUCACUCAGGGCACCAUGGGGAUGCGUUGGCCAUCCAUUAGUGUCUUCUGAUUUUUGCGGAGUCAAACAAUU
rnacentral:snoRNA from 1 species